GAUGAACGCUGGCGGCGUGCCUAAUACAUGCAAGUCGGACGGAGCGCUUCGGCGCUCAGUGGCGAACGGGUGAGUAGCACAUGGGCAACCUGCCCUUCAGAGGGGGACAACAGCUGGAAACGGACGCUAAUACCGCAUAACAUAUCUUUACCGCAUGAUAGAGAUAUCAAAGGAGCAAUCCGCUGAGAGAUGGGCUCGCGUCCGAUUAGAUAGUUGGUGAGGUAACGGCUCACCAAGUCGACGAUCGGUAGCCGGACUGAGAGGUUGAACGGCCACAUUGGGACUGAGACACGGCCCAG
rnacentral:rRNA from 1 species